rnacentral:rRNA from 1 species
UUGGCCUCGNUAUCGGGGUCCGAUUUAGCCUGCUAGUUGUACGAGCUUACACUCGUAGCAAAUAGCUCCGUAACACGUGGCCAAACUACCCUACAGAGAACCAUAACCUCGGGAAACUGAGGCUAAUAGUUCAUACCCGUCCCAGCCUGGAACGGCGGGACGCGCAAACGCUCCGGCGCUGUAGGACGUGGCUGCGGCCGAUUAGGUAGACGGUGGGGUAACGGCCCACCGUGCCGAUAAUCGGUACGGGUCAUGAGAGUGAGAGCCCGGAGACGGACUCUGAGACACGAGUCCGGGCCCUACGGGGCGCAGCAGGCGCGAAACCUUUACACUGCACGACAGUGCGAUAGGGGGACACCGAGUGCGAGGGCAUAGAGCCCUCGCUUUUGUAGACCGUAAGGAGGUCUACGAAUAAGGGCUGGGCAAGACCGGUGCCAGCCGCCGCGGUAACACCGGCAGCCCAAGUGAUGGCCGAUAUUAUUGGGCCUAAAGCGUCCGUAGCUGGCCGCGCAAGUUCGUCGGGAAAUCCACUCGCUUAACGAGUGGGCCGUNCGGCGAAAACUGUGCGGCUUGGGACCGGAAGAUCCAAGGGGUACGUCCGGGGUAGGAGUGAAAUCCCGUAA